rnacentral:rRNA from 1 species
AUUGAACGCUGGCGGCAGGCCUAACACAUGCAAGUCGAACGGUAGCACAGAGAGCUUGCUCUCGGGUGACGAGUGGCGGACGGGUGAGUAAUGUCUGGGAAACUGCCCGAUGGAGGGGGAUAACUACUGGAAACGGUAGCUAAUACCGCAUAACGUCGCAAGACCAAAGUGGGGGACCUUCGGGCCUCACACCAUCGGAUGUGCCCAGAUGGGAUUAGCUAGUAGGUGGGGUAAUGGCUCACCUAGGCGACGAUCCCUAGCUGGUCUGAGAGGAUGACCAGCCACACUGGAACUGAGACACGGUCCAGACUCCUACGGGAGGCAGCAGUGGGGAAUAUUGCACAAUGAGCGCAAGCCUGAUGCAGCCAUGCCGCGUGUAUGAAGAAGGCCUUCGGGUUGUAAAGUACUUUCAGCGGGGAGGAAGGCGGUGGAGUUAAUAACUUCACCGAUUGACGUUACCCGCAGAAGAAGCACCGGCUAACUCCGUGCCAGCCGCCGCCGUAA